rnacentral:rRNA from 1 species
AUUGAACGCUGGCGGCAGGCCUAACACAUGCAAGUCGAGCGGCAGCGGGAAAGUAGCUUGCUACUUUUGCCGGCGAGCGGCGGACGGGUGAGUAAUGCCUGGGAAAUUGCCCAGUCGAGGGGGAUAACAGUUGGAAACGACUGCUAAUACCGCAUACGCCCUACGGGGGAAAGCAGGGGACCUUCGGGCCUUGCGCGAUUGGAUAUGCCCAGGUGGGAUUAGCUAGUUGGUGAGGUAAUGGUUCACCAAGGCGACGAUCCCUAGCUGGUCUGAGAGGAUGAUCCGCCACACUGGAACUGAGACACGGUCCAGACUCCUACGGGAGGCAGCAGUGGGGAAUAUUGCACAAUGGGGGAAACCCUGAUGCAGCCAUGCCGCGUGUGUGAAGAAGGCCUUCGGGUUGUAAAGCACUUUCAGCGAGGAGGAAAGGUUGAUGCCUAAUACGUAUCAACUGUGACGUUACUCGCAGAAGAAGCACCGGCUAACUCCGUGCCAGCCGCCGCAGUAA